AAGAACUGAAUGACAACUCAACAGUCUUUACAGCAACACAAAUAAACUCUGAUACCAACGCAUAAGAGAUUGUGUCACAAAGAAACAAUAACAACCAAACUCUAGUCGAGUUCACUCAUUUCUCAUUGCUUCUCUGUUCUACCCUCUCUACAUUAUAUAGCACGUUUUUCCAGUUUCUGACACUAAAGUGGGGACUUAGGAAAAAAAAUCGAUUUUUUUUAAAGUUAACCGGAAUGUGCCGUAACGCAUGCGCGUUUGUUACUGAUAGGCCCAGCAACAUUCCGAACAUAUUUUUAUGACGGUUAAGCCUCAUGGGACCUGAAAAUAACAAAAUACGGCAUAACACAUAAACGGCUUGAGAAAUUGAAGAAGUGAGAGGGUACGCCACACCACCAAAAUUUUUUUUUUAAAAAAAGACCCACAACCGUAUCCAAAGCAGUAGCAUUACCCCUAGGCCCCAGCCUAGGCUUUACCUUAACCCUGAACAUAGCCCUAGUCCGUAAUUCUUGCUGUAAUCCAUACACUUGUAAUCUAUACAUACAGUUGUAAUCGAUACAGUUGUAAUCCAUACACCUUUAAUCCAUACACUUUUAAUCCAUACAUCUGUGUCUCCAAAUAUUAAACCGAGGUGAUAAAGAUGAAUGGUACAGCACGCACGCAUCACCUUUUUUAAAAAAAAAACCCACAACCGUAUCCAAAGCAGUAGCAUUACCCCUAGGCCCCAGCCUAGGCUUUACCUUAACCCUGAACAUAGCCCUAGUCCGUAAUUCUUGCUGUAAUCCAUACACUUGUAAUCUAUACAUACAGUUGUAAUCGAUACAGUUGUAAUCCAUACACCUUUAAUCCAUACACUUUUAAUCCAUACAUCUGUGUCUCCAAAUAUUAAACCGAGGUGAUAAAGAUGAAUGGUACAGCACGCACGCAUCACCUUUUUUAAAAAAAAAACCCACAACCGUAUCCAAAGCAGUAGCAUUACCCCUAGGCCCCAGCCUAGGCUUUACCUUAACCCUGAACAUAGCCCUAGUCCGUAAUUCUUGCUGUAAUCCAUACACUUGUAAUCUAUACAUACAGUUGUAAUCGAUACAGUUGUAAUCCAUACACCUUUAAUCCAUACACUUUUAAUCCAUACAUCUGUGUCUCCAAAUAUUAAACCGAGGUGAUAAAGAUGAAUGGUACAGCACGCACGCAUCACCUUUUUUAAAAAAAAAACCCACAACCGUAUCCAAAGCAGUAGCAUUACCCCUAGGCCCCAGCCUAGGCUUUACCUUAACCCUGAACAUAGCCCUAGUCCGUAAUUCUUGCUGUAAUCCAUACACUUGUAAUCUAUACAUACAGUUGUAAUCGAUACAGUUGUAAUCCAUACACCUUUAAUCCAUACACUUUUAAUCCAUACAUCUGUGUCUCCAAAUAUUAAACCGAGGUGAUAAAGAUGAAUGGUACAGCACGCACGCAUCACCUUUUUUAAAAAAAAAGUUCAGGUAAGCACAAGAUAACUGGUACUCCACGGUACAAAGCAGUUGGUUAAAAAAAGGACUUGUCACAAAGUGACAAAUCUGUCGAACAGAGGCUUAAUCUCAGAAGAUCGUAGCACAAAGGCUACUCUACUUUUUACAAUACCACGUUCUUGUUUAAGUCGUCUGCAUAGGAUUUAUCUCUGGAAAUUUUAGAUUUUGAUAGUUGCAGCACCUCGACGGUUUUUCUCCGACUCAGUGCAUUGGGACUUAGGAACGACAGAAGCCGUUCUAUUCUUGUUCGCCUAAGAUUAUCCAGAGGUAAUUAUCAUUGCUUUCUAGCACGGAUUCUGACUUAGAGGCGUUCAGUCAUAAUCCAA